CCGGGCGCCGAGCUCAGCAGCUCAUGACGUCAGCAGCAAUCAGCGGUCACUGGGCAGUAACGCUAGUGUCGAGAGGAACAAGCUACCAUGGUCGUCAUCAAAGAGUAUCGUGUGGUUUUACCCUGUAGUGUUGAGGAGUACCAAGUGGGGCAGCUCUUCUCAGUAGCUGAAGCAAGUAAAAAUGAGACAGGUGGUGGUGAAGGCAUUGAGGUACUCAAGAAUGAGCCCUAUGAAAAAGACGGCGAGAAGGGACAGUAUACACACAAAAUCUACCACCUGAAGAGUAAAGUCCCAGGGUUUGUGAAGCUGUUGGCCCCUGAAGGCGCCCUGGUAUUCCAUGAAAAGGCCUGGAAUGCCUACCCUUACUGCAGAACCAUUGUGACGAACGAGUAUAUGAAAGACAGUUUCUUCAUUAAGAUUGAGACAUGGCACAAACCAGACCUUGGAACACAAGAAAAUGUGCACAAACUAGACAGUUCCACAUGGCAGGAUGUAACUGUUGUGCCCAUUGACAUUGCAGACAGAAGUCAAGUGUCCGCUACUGACUACAAGCCAGAUGAGGACCCUGCCAAGUUCACGUCAGUUAAGACUGGCAGAGGACCCCUUGGACCCACCUGGAAGAAAGAGCUGGUUAGUAAGACGGACUGCCCAAGGAUGUGUGCCUACAAACUGGUCACAGUCAAGUUCAAGUGGUGGGGCCUGCAGAACAAAGUGGAGAACUUCAUCCAUGAGCAAGAGAAGAGGAUCUUCACUAACUUCCAUCGCCAGCUCUUCUGUUGGAUUGAUAAGUGGGUGGAGCUGACUAUGGAUGAUAUCCGGCGGAUGGAGGCAGAGACACAGAGGGAGCUGGAUGAGAUGCGUAAGCAGGGGUCUGUGCGAGGUACAAAGGCUGCAGACGAGUAGCCAGGCCAGGUGUAGGUCUGAGUUUUGCUGUGUAAGUUCUCACUAGUAGAGCUUCGCAAACAGGGUGAAAUACGAGGAACCAGUGCUGCAGACGAAUGAAAAGGCAAAGGAUUUAAAACACCCAGCAAUGGAGACCGCUAAGAGGGCUCCUUUGGUGCCGCUUUUUUACCUGAACUGAUUCAGGCUGUGGAGGUGGGGGGGGGGGACUCUGCUACCUGCAAUCAAUAGAGCGGAUCCCUGACUUGCACCCAAUCAUAGACAUUCUAUACACUGAGGAAUUGAUUUCUAGAAACCAACACGAUCCUAGCUGAUAAGACUCUGGUUAACUUUGAUCUCCUGGGCAGAGGAAGGCCAGCUAUCAGCAUCAUGUUAUUGACAAGACCUAGCCCCCUGGAGAGAUAUGAAGAGGAGCUGCUUGCAGUAGAGAUGCAUUUUUACAAAAGCAAAUUCCUCGGCUUGAUUCCACAGUGGCAGGUGUUGGACCAAAUAUGUCCCCUGUUUUAUUUUGAUUUUCCUUGUUUGUUAAAGUUGUCUCCAAAACAUUCCUCUCAAGAUGAUGCCCCGUCUGACCUCUCUUUGUCUCCUCCUUGGUUUUAACUGUACACACUGGCUCAGUGGUUUGCAUUCCCCAGCAUGAGUCUGUCUGUUUGUCAUACUCAUGUUCCUUCCUGCCACAGCCUCCAUUAAGAGAUUACUAACACCCUUGGCGCCUUGGCCCAUUGUAAUCCCCACCUCACCCAAAGCACUGCAUCUUAUUAACACUGACAAUCAUGCCCGUACAGGUAUUCUCUCACACACAGAUUUAAUAACCCCCCCCCCCUAUACACACACACACACACACACACACACACACACACACACGCACACACACACUUAACACAUAUACAUCGUGCACAUGAAGAUAAACAUGUGAAUUCAUUGUCUCACACACACACACACACACACACACACACACAGGUGUGGAUGCCUUUGCGGUGACUGAUCUCUUUAAAAGCGCAAGUUGGGCAGAUCCAUGCAAGCUCGUUCAGCUAAAGGAUGUUACUUUGGAAGUGUUUACAGCUCUCACUGAUCGCCCCCCCCCCCCCCCUUUCUGUAGACAUUCACACGUAACAUUCAACACAGCAUUCACCUUCCUAACAGAUGUCCCCAGAGAAAAACUGCACUGAAAAACAGCCACAGAUGGUGCUACACCCCUCCAGCCUCUGUCACAAGCCAAACUGCACCGUGCAACUCGCCGCACCUCACCCAGCCCACCCUUGAGGCCUGUCUCACUCUUGUGGUUAUCCGAGGUACACCCUUUCUAAAAGGCCUCUUCUUCAGCUUCAUUCUAGGUGUGUUUACAGCUCCAUAGCAGCCUUACCAGUGCCCAGUGGACACCAGCACCACACACCAUUUGCCUUAAUCUCUCGACCGUUAUACCUAUUGUACCUCUGCUGCCAGCUAUUGCUCUAGCUACCUCCUUUUGUUUCUGACUGGCAAUGUUCCUAACACCUAGAGCUUAGCACCAGCUAUUAGCUGCUACUUGUUAGGAGUAAAUCAUGGCACACAGAGCUUUAUGAGCAAAGUUGUUUGUGAUGACUCUUUAUUUUCUUCAGGGAAUUGUCUGUUAUUCCCUUUUUAUGUUUCCUGGUAUGUGUUGCAGCACGUGAGCAAGUGCAAUUCCUUCAGCAAGCAAAACAAAUGUGUAAGUUGCAGCCAGACUGGCCUGUACACUAUUGUUGCUGCAAACGGCUGCAGAUUUACGUCUUUGCCUCAGAUCAGCCGUUGGAUGGAUAUGCCUCAUUAAUGACAUUAGACUUUUCAGUUCCACGGUGCACUUUCUCCCACUUAGGUUUCAGAAUCAUGUGGCACUGGCCUGCAGUGUUGAUCAUCACUAGUGUUGCUUACAGUAUAUAGCACAAGUGGUUUCCUCAUUUGAUCUUUCUGUGGUGUGUCAAAGUCUAUUUGUUUUUAUAGAUGUUUCCUUUCAACACAUAAAUGUAAUGAAAUACUCUGGGUUCAAAGAUCCUAAUGUUUUUAUUUCCUGUAAACUGUAUGAGGGGAAUGUGAUCACUUCCUCUGUAAUGGGUUAUUAGCUUGUCCAAAGAGUGUGCAUGGAUUUCUGAUAUGUUUACAUUGAUUCAGAAAUGGUGAUCUGGUGUAAUAGGAAAAUUAGGAAGCCAUUAUCUGAGGCAUAAUUUUUAUUACAACAAAAUCUUCUCAGGUGAACAGUUGGACACAAGGAUAUUUUUGAUAUUGUUGCUCAUCAGUUGCCCUCUACAGUUGACUUCUUUUCAUUAUACCAUAUUCUUUUCUGUGGGACACGUGGUUGUAAUAUACGGUUGCCUUUUCCAUUUAUGGUAGUAUAUGAGACAGCCAGUUGCUUUUUGUUACUGUACUGGGAUUGUAUGCGUACGUCUCAAAGAGCGAAAACAAUUGGUCUUCAGUGUAAUCGAUGUUUCCAAGUACAUUUUGAAUGAUUCCUGCUGUCUGUUGAAUAGAAAAGCCUGAGACUUAAAUUGAACAACCUAAAUCAAUUGUUUACUAAUUGUCAAGACAGUUAUAUGGGGGAGAGGAAGUAUUCACAAAGCAACUGUACAGUCUAAUCGUAAUUUAUUAAAUCUACAACUCUUUCAUUUCUAAACUGCGACUCGCUUUUAAAUGUUUCUGAUCAGCUUUUGAAAUUCAGGGCUACAUGGUAGUGAAUGUAUGACAUUUUGUGCCUUUCUGUAGAUCUUUUUGUUCAUUAAGUCUACAUCUUGUAUCUAAAUAUCAAAUAAAUUUGUUUGGGAAAUACAUUGCA